rnacentral:rRNA from 1 species
UACGAAGGGGGCUAGCGUUGUUCGGAAUUACUGGGCGUAAAGCGCGCGCAGGCGGUCCUUUACGUCGGGGGUGAAAGCCCAGAGCUCAACUCUGGAACUGCCUUCGAAACUAGAGGACUUGGGUACGGGAGAGGUGAGUGGAAUUCCGAGUGUAGAGGUGAAAUUCGUAGAUAUUCGGAAGAACACCAGUGGCGAAGGCGGCUCACUGGCCCGUUACCGACGCUCAGGCGCGACAGCGUGGGGAGCAAACAGG